UACGGAGGAUCCGAGCGUUAUCCGGAUUUAUUGGGUUUAAAGGGUGCGCAGGCGGGGGAUUAAGUCGGCGGUGAAAUUUUGCAGCUCAGCUGUAAAAGUGCCUUCGAAACUGGUAUCCUUGAGUGUGGAUGAGGUAGGCGGAAUUUGUGGUGUAGCGGUGAAAUGCAUAGAUAUCACGAGGAACUCCGAUUGCGCAGGCAGCUUACUAAACCAUAACUGACGCUCAGGCACGAAGGCGUGGGGAUCAAACAGGAUUAGAUACCCU
rnacentral:rRNA from 1 species